AUGGGCGGCACGGCCGUGGCCCCCCAGGUCUACGUCUUCCCGCCGCCGCCCGAGGCGCUGGCGCUGGGCGAGUCGGCCAUCUUGACCUGCCUGGCCAGCGGCUUCUUCCCGCGCGACAUCCUGCUCACCUGGACGCACCUGGACCGGCCGGUGCCACCGGAGCGCUUCUCGGUGCUGGGCCCGCAGCCGGACGCCGGAGGUUCCGGAAGGUUCUCGGUCUACUCCAAGAUGGCGGCCGGGGCGGAGGAGUGGCGCCGCGGCGACGUCUUCACCUGCGUGGUGGGGCACGAGGGCGUGGCCAUGAGGUUCGUCCAGAGGAGUUUGGACAAAUCCAUGGCGAGACCGGCCAACGUCAACGUUUCGGUGGUUUUGGCCGAUGCCGACACCGUGUGUUAUUGA